CAGCCGCUUCUGAAUCCUCUCAUCCUCUCAAACUCUCUCAAAUCCUAGUCGCCUCCCACCACUUCCACCCUGAAAGACACCGAAAUCGAUGGCUUCCAAGGACAUCAGAACCCUACAUCGGCCUCCUAUUACUCUUGUAUGCCUAGUUUCAAAGAUUCAAGGCCUGACCAUGAUGAAGUUUGGUCCAGGCUUCAAUCGAUUUGAGUUCCUCAACAAUCUCUUGUCUUUCUCCUGCGAACCAUGGCUGCUCGAGGAUGAUUUUGACUUCUCUGACUUAUAUCGGCGACCUUUCAAAGCCUUUCUCACUACUAUGGUUCUACUGAAACCCUAACCUUUCGAGGUUUUUCUAAUUCGUUGUAUAUCUAUGCUUUCCUUAAGCUUUUAAAUGAUUUUCCUGACUUGUUUUUCAAAAACUAUAUUCAAAACACAUUCUUUUCCGAUCUAGGAUUUUUUGAAAAUAUUUAAAUGAUUCUCC
rnacentral:lncRNA from 1 species